rnacentral:rRNA from 1 species
AGGGCGGGACACGUGAUAUCCUGUCUGAAUAUGGGGGGACCAUCCUCCAAGGCUAAAUACUACUGACUGACCGAUAGUGAACCAGUACCGUGAGGGAAAGGCGAAAAGAACCCCUGUGAGGGGAGUGAAAUAGAACCUGAAACCGUGUACGUACAAGCAGUAGGAGCAGGCUUUGUCCUGUGACUGCGUACCUUUUGUAUAAUGGGUCAGCGACUUAUAUUCAGUGGCAAGGUUAACCAUCUAGGGGAGCCGUAGGGAAACCGAGUCUUAACUGGGCGUUCAGUCUCUGGAUAUAGACCCGAAACCAGGUGAUCUAGCCAUGGGCAGGUUGAAGGUUGAGUAACAUCAACUGGAGGACCGAACCGACUAAUGUUGAAAAAUUAGCGGAUGACUUGUGGCUAGGGGUGAAAGGCCAAUCAAACCUGGAGAUAGCUGGUUCUCCCCGAAAGCUAUUUAGGUAGCGCCUCGGACGAAUACUACUGGGGGUAGAGCACUGUUAAGGCUAGGGGGUCAUCCCGACUUACCAACCCUUUGCAAACUCCGAAUACCAGUAAGUACUAUCCGGGAGACACACGGCGGGUGCUAACGUCCGUCGUGGAGAGGGAAACAACCCAGACCGCCAGCUAAGGUCCCAAAUUACUACUAAGUGGGAAACGAUGUGGGAAGGCUCAGACAGCCAGGAUGUUGGCUUAGAAGCAGCCAUCAUUUAAAGAAAGCGUAAUAGCUCACUGGUCGAGUCGGCCUGCGCGGAAGAUGUAACGGGGCUAAGUAGUAAACCGAAGCUGCGGCAAUAUACUUUUGUAUAUUGGGUAGGGGAGCGUUCUGUAAGCGGUUGAAGGUGUGUGGUAACGCAUGCUGGACGUAUCAGAAGUGCGAAUGCUGACAUGAGUAACGAUAAAGGGGGUGAAAAACCUCCUCGCCGGAAGACCAAGGGUUCCUGUCCAACGUUAAUCGGGGCAGGGUAAGUCGACCCCUAAGGCGAGGCCGAAAGGCGUAGUCGAUGGGAAACGGGUUAAUAUUCCCGUACUUCUUACAAUUGCGAUGGGGGGACGGAGAAGGCUAGGUGGGCCUGGCGACGGUUGUCCAGGUUCAAGUGCGUAGGCUUAAGAGUUAGGUAAAUCCGGCUCUUUUUAAGGCUGAGACACGACGUCGAGCACCUACGGGUGUGAAGUCAUUGAUGCCAUGCUUCCAGGAAAAGCCUCUAAGCUUCAGAUUGUAAGGAAUCGUACCCCAAACCGACACAGGUGGUCGGGUAGAGAAUACCAAGGCGCUUGAGAGAACUCGGGUGAAGGAACUAGGCAAAAUGGUACCGUAA